rnacentral:rRNA from 1 species
UCCAGACUCCUACGGGAGGCAGCAGUGGGGAAUAUUGCACAAUGGGGGAAACCCUGAUGCAGCGACGCCGCGUGAGUGAAGAAGUAUUUCGGUAUGUAAAGCUCUCUCAGCAGGGAAGAUAAUGACGGUACCUGACUAAGAAGCCCCGGCUAACUACGUGCCAGCAGCCGCGGUAAUACGUAGGGGGCAAGCGUUAUCCGGAUUUACUGGGUGUAAAGGGUGCGCAGGUGGCAGGGCAAGUCAGAUGUGAAAGCCCGGGGCUCAACCCCGGUAUUGCAUUUGAAACUGUCCGGCUAGAGUGCAGGAGAGGUAAGCGGAAUUCCUAGUGUAGCGGUGAAAUGCGUAGAUAUUAGGAGGAACACCAGUGGCGAAGGCGGCUUACUGGACUGUAACUGACACUGAGGCACGAAAGCGUGGGGAGCAAACAGGAUUAGAUACCCCAGUAAG